AGUCUCCUGGAACGGAGCGUCAUAGAGGGUGAGAAUCCCGUCUCUGACACGGAGCCCAGUGCUUUGUGAAGCGCUCUCGACGAGUCGAGUUGUUUGGGAAUGCAGCUCAAAUUGGGUGGUAAAUUCCAUCUAAAGCUAAAUACAGGCGAGAGACCGAUAGCGAACAAGUNCCGUGAGGGAAAGAUGAAAAGAACUUUGGAAAGAGAGUUAAACAGUACGUGAAAUUGCUGAAAGGGAAACGCUUGAAGUCAGUCACGUCUGCUUGGGAUCAGCCUUGCUCUUUNGCUUGGUGUAUUCUCUUGCUGACGGGUCAGCAUCAAUUUUGGGCGCCGGAUAAAGGCAGAGGGAAUGUGGCACCUUUCGGGGUGUGUUAUAGCCCUUGGUUGUAUACGGUGGCUGGGAUUGAGGAACUCAGCACGACCUUCGGGUUUGGGGCUUCGGCCUACAAAUGUGCUUAGGAUGCUGGCAUAAUGGCUUUAAUCGACCCGUCUUGAAACACGGACCAAGGAGUCUAACAUGCCCGCAAGUAUUUGGGUGUUUAAAACCCUUAUGCGAAAUGAAAGUGAAAGUUGGGAUCCCUGUCGUGGGGAGCACCGACGCCCGGACCUGAACUUUUGUGACGGCUCUGCGGUAGAGCGUGUAUGUUGGGACCCGAAAGAUGGUGAACUAUGCCUGAAUA
rnacentral:rRNA from 1 species